rnacentral:rRNA from 1 species
GACGAACGCUGGCGGCGUGCCUAAUACAUGCAAGUCGAGCGGACUUUCCGGAGUCCUUGCACUCCGGACGGUUUGCUGCGGACGGGUGAUUCACACGUACGCAACCUGCCCAUAAGACCGGGAUACCAUUCGGAAACGAAUGCUAAUACCGGCUCGACCGCCCUCUCGCAUGUGGUGAUCGGGAAAGGCCGCGCCCUCUGCCGCUUCUGCAUGGGCCUGCGGCGCAUUAGCUGGUUGGUGGGGUAACGGCCUACCAAGGCGACUCUGCGUAGCCGACCUGAGAGGGUGAUCGGCCACACUGGGACUGAGACACGGCCCAGAGGCGUACGGGAGGCAGAAGUAGGGAAUCUUCCGAAAUGGACGCAAGUCUGACGGAGCAACGCCGCGUGAGGGAGGAAGGCCUACGGGUAGGAAAGCUCUGUUGAGAGGGAAGAACGGGUAGGGGAGUAACUGGGCUUGCCAUGACGGUACCUGAGAAGAAAGCCCCGGCUAACUACGUG